rnacentral:piRNA from 1 species
UUUUUGCUCUACGGAGAAUGA